rnacentral:misc_RNA from 1 species
AGAAAUUUCAUAUGUUAAAAAAAAUUUUCUUCCCAUCGGAAUAACUCCUUGGAGCAUUUUUUUUUUAUUAAGCCACAAUUAGAUAAUUUCUUGCAUAUUCUAAUGAAGAAAUAUUAAAGUAGAAUAUUAAGCUUAUAAAAAAAAAUCCAUACAAUACCAACCAAAUACAUUAUUCAAUCAAGGCCUACAGAUGCAAUCUACUUCUGGUUCAGUUGUCUCCAGAGGGAACUGUACUCUUACAAUUUCCAUUCGAGUUGAAGCCGUUCUCUUUGAUUUUGCCAUUAUCCUUUUCCUUCCCAUCUUCCUUAGGAGCUUUCUCUUCCUCUUGUUCUGCUUUCAACUUUGCUGCUUCUUCCUCAGACUUCUUUCUUGCUUCCUCCUCCUUUGCCUCCUCUAGAGCAGCAAUCAACUUCUUCAGACAAGUCUCUUCGUCUUCUUCUUCUGACUUUGGCAUCAAAUUCUCAGCAACAUCAGCUGGUGUCAUCUUCGUUUCCUCCAACAAAUUUUGAAUUUUCCCAAACAGUUCAUGGGAUUCGAUAUCCAGAUAAUUCUGAGCUAGAACCUUAAAUGCUUCGAAGCAACAGUAAGACAUUUCUA